CGGGGGGGGCAAGCGUUGUUCGGAAUUACUGGGCGUAAAGGGCGCGUAGGCGGCCUGCUAAGUCGGACGUGAAAUCCCUCGGCUCAACCGGGGAACUGCGUCCGAUACUGGUGGGCUCGAAUCCGGGAGAGGGAUGUGGAAUUCCAGGUGUAGCGGUGAAAUGCGUAGAUAUCUGGAGGAACACCGGUGGCGAAGGCGGCAUCCUGGACCGGUAUUGACGCUGAUGCGCGGAAGCCAGGGGAGCAAACGGGAUUAGAUACCCCGGUAGUCCUGGCCCUAAACGAUGAGUGCUUGGUGUGGCGGGUAUCGAUCCCUGCCGUGCCGAAGCUAACGCAUUAAGCACUCCGCCUGGGGAGUACGGUCGCAAGGCUG
rnacentral:rRNA from 1 species